CCUACGGGUGGCAGCAGUCGAGAAUCAUUCACAAUGGGGGAAACCCUGAUGGUGCGACGCCGCGUGGGGGAAUGAAGGUCUUCGGAUUGUAAACCCCUGUCAUGUGGGAGCAAAUUAAAAAGAUAGUACCACAAGAGGAAGAGACGGCUAACUCUGUGCCAGCAGCCGCGGUAAUACAGAGGUCUCAAGCGUUGUUCGGAAUCACUGGGCGUAAAGCGUGCGUAGGCUGUUGCGUAAGUCGUGUGUGAAAGGCGCGGGCUCAACCCGCGGACGGCACAUGAUACUGGGAGACUAGAGUACUGGAGGGGGAAGCGGAAUUCGCGGUGUAGCAGUGAAAUGCGUAGAUAUCGAGAGGAACACUCGUGGCGAAGGCAGGUUCCUGGACAGUAACUGACGCUGAGGCACGAAGGCCAGGGGAGCGAAAGGGAUUAGAUACCCGGGUAGUC
rnacentral:rRNA from 1 species